GGGGAAUCUUCCGCAAUGGACGAAAGUCUGACGGAGCAACGCCGCGUGAGUGAUGACGGCCUUCGGGUUGUAAAGCUCUGUUAAUCGGGACGAAAGGCCUUCUUGCGAAUAGUUAGAAGGAUUGACGGUACCGGAAUAGAAAGCCACGGCUAACUACGUGCCAGCAGCCGCGGUAAUACGUAGGUGGCAAGCGUUGUCCGGAAUUAUUGGGCGUAAAGCGCGCGCAGGCGGAUUGGUCAGUCUGUCUUAAAAGUUCGGGGCUUAACCCCGUGAUGGGAUGGAAACUGCCAAUCUAGAGUAUCGGAGAGGAAAGUGGAAUUCCUAGUGUAGCGGUGAAAUGCGUAGAUAUUAGGAAGAACACCAGUGGCGAAGGCGACUUUCUGGACGAAAACUGACGCUGAGGCGCGAAAGCCAGGGGAGCGAACGGGAUUAGAUACCCCGGUAGUCCUGGCCGCAAACGAUGGGUACUAGGUGUAGGAGGUAUCGACCCCUUCUGUGCCGGAGUUAACGCAAUAAGUACCCCGCCUGGGGAGUACGGCCGCAAGGUUG
rnacentral:rRNA from 1 species